AUAACGAUACGGGACUCAUCCGAGGCCCCGUAAUCGGAAUGAGAACACUUUAAAACCUUUAAACGAGGAUCAAUUGGAGGGCAAGUCUGGUGCCAGCAGCCGCGGUAAUUCCAGCUCCAA
rnacentral:rRNA from 14 species